GCUCAGGAUGAACGCUAGCUACAGGCUUAACACAUGCAAGUCGAGGGGCAUCAGGAAGAAAGCUUGCUUUCUUUGCUGGCGACCGGCGCACGGGUGAGUAACACGUAUCCAACCUGCCCUUUACUCGGGGAUAGCCUUUCGAAAGAAAGAUUAAUACCCGAUAGCAUAAUGAUUCCGCAUGGUUUCAUUAUUAAAGGAUUCCGGUAAAGGAUGGGGAUGCGUUCCAUUAGGUUGUUGGUGAGGUAACGGCCCACCAAGCCUUCGAUGGAUAGGGGUUCUGAGAGGAAGGUCCCCCACAUUGGAACUGAGACACGGUCCAAACUCCUACGGGAGGCAGCAGUGAGGAAUAUUGGUCAAUGGGCGCUAGCCUGAACCAGCCAAGUAGCGUGAAGGAUGAAGGCUCUAUGGGUCGUAAACUUCUUUUAUAUAAGAAUAAAGUGCAGUAUGUAUACUGUUUUGUAUGUAUUAUAUGAAUAAGGAUCGGCUAACUCCGUGCCAGCAGCCGCGGUAAUACGGAGGAUCCGAGCGUUAUCCGGAUUUAUUGGGUUUAAAGGGAGCGUAGGUGGACUGGUAAGUCAGUUGUGAAAGUUUGCGGCUCAACCGUAAAAUUGCAGUUGAUACUGUCAGUCUUGAGUACAGUAGAGGUGGGCGGAAUUCGUGGUGUAGCGGUGAAAUGCUUAGAUAUCACGAAGAACUCCGAUUGCGAAGGCAGCUCACUGGACUGCAACUGACACUGAUGCUCGAAAGUGUGGGUAUCAAACAGGAUUAGAUAUCCUGGUAGUCCACACAGUAAACGAUGAAUACUCGCUGUUUGCGAUAUACAGUAAGCGGCCAAGCGAAAGCAUUAAGUAUUCCACCUGGGGAGUACGCCGGCAACGGUGAAACUCAAAGGAAUUGACGGGGGCCCGCACAAGCGGAGGAACAUGUGGUUUAAUUCGAUGAUACGCGAGGAACCUUACCCGGGCUUAAAUUGCAGUGGAAUGAUGUGGAAACAUGUCAGUGAGCAAUCACCGCUGUGAAGGUGCUGCAUGGUUGUCGUCAGCUCGUGCCGUGAGGUGUCGGCUUAAGUGCCAUAACGAGCGCAACCCUUAUCUUUAGUUACUAACAGGUUAUGCUGAGGACUCUAGAGGGACUGCCGUCGUAAGAUGUGAGGAGGGUGGGGAUGACGUCAAAUCAGCACGGCCCUUACGUCCGGGGCUACACACGUGUCACAAUGGGGGGUACAGAAGGCAGCUAGCGGGUGACCGUAUGCUAAUCCCAAAAUCCUCUCUCAGUUCGGAUCGAAGUCUGCAACCCGACUUCGUGAAGCUGGAUUCGCUAGUAAUCGCGCAUCAGCCACGGCGCGGUGAAUACGUUCCCGGGCCUUGUACACACCGCCCGUCAAGCCAUGGGAGCCGGGGGUACCUGAAGUACGUAACCGCAAGGAUCGUCCUAGGGUAA
rnacentral:rRNA from 1 species